rnacentral:hammerhead_ribozyme from 1 species
AUCCAGUUGAUGAGUCCCAAAUAGGACGGAACGCAUGUCCUGGAU